UGACGGCUUUUGGGGUUUAGCAAGGAAUAUGUAAAUAAUAAUAAUAAUAAUAUUAAUGAUAUAUAUAUAUGUAUAUACAUUGUUAUAUGGAGCUGUUAAAAGGAAGCUGAACAAAAAUAAAUAUAAGAAGUUGUGUCUUUUAAUUAAUCUCUCUCUAUUUUCGGGAUUAGACACUUAAAACUUAAAACCUGAUGAUUCUUAGUUUCGUUGAUUGGCACCAAAUUUGGUUCAAGUUUUUACAGAAGCAUUUUUGUAAUAGUCUUGCAGCAGACAGCAGAAUGAUGCAGUUAAUAAAAUCGAAUUCUGUUGAGAAACUUCCCUCCAAACUUCCGUCAAACAGGCAUUGUCAUUGACCAAAAGAGGUUUUCUUUAUAAAUUCUCAGCUCCCAAUAAAACACUGUUUAUAUACA